rfam:Streptococcus uberis 0140J complete genome
CAUCCUGUGCAACCGCACGAAAAUCGUUUAAGUAGAGAAAUCUCACGAUUCCAGGCGAGUCUUCACAGAGGG